rnacentral:lncRNA from 1 species
UAGUGCACAACAGAUCCUCGAGAUCAAGGGAACUCAAAUGGCGCGCUCCUCCACCGUUGCCGCUGCAGCCUUCGUCCUUGUGGCCACGAUGGCCGUGUCAUCGGCGAGUGCCGCUCGCACUCUGAGCGAACGGAACGCCGCAACCGCAAAGGAAGCAAGCAAAGGCGGCGCUCUCCCGUCCGGCGCCGACUUCCUCAAGCUCGGCGAGGGCGUCGUCUUCGUCCCCGAGAAGGCCGGGGUUCCCUGCAUUCACCGGUACGAGAAGGUGCCUAUAUUCGGCCCGUGACUAUUGCGACAACCUGCUGGGUGAGCGCGCGAGAGGAACGGCCUUCUCCCGUUCUGCGGCCGUUCAAUAAAAGAAACGAACCUGAAUUUUCGCUAUGCGCCUACUGCUACUUGUAUCUUUGUUUGCUUGAUGCGCCGUUAAAUUGGUCAA